rfam:Coriobacteriales bacterium DNF00809 genomic scaffold Scaffold278, whole genome shotgun sequence.
GGCUUGGUCGGAAACCAAGCCUCGAUAAAGGAG